rnacentral:rRNA from 1 species
GGUGAACGCUGGCGGUAGGCCUAACACAUGCAAGUCGAACGGCAGCACGGUAAGAGCUUGCUCUUACGGGUGGCGAGUGGCGGACGGGUGAGGAAUACAUCGGAAUCUACUUUUUCGUGGGGGAUAACGUAGGGAAACUUACGCUAAUACCGCAUACGACCUACGGGUGAAAGCAGGGGAUCUUCGGACCUUGCGCGAUUGAAUGAGCCGAUGUCGGAUUAGCUAGUUGGCGGGGUAAAGGCCCACCAAGGCGACGAUCCGUAGCUGGUCUGAGAGGAUGAUCAGCCACACUGGAACUGAGACACGGUCCAGACUCCUACGGGAGGCAGCAGUGGGGAAUAUUGGACAAAGGGCGCAAGCCUGAUCCAGCCAUACCGCGUGGGUGAAGAAGGCCUUCGGGUUGUAAAGCCCUUUUGUUGGGAAAGAAAAGCAGCAGGUUAAUACCCCGCUGUUCUGACGGUACCCAAAGAAUAAGCACCGGCUAACUUCGUG